GAUUAGUAUAGCUUGGUACCUCUACCAUAAAUUCUUAUUAUUUCAUGAAAUAAAUCAAUGUGUGCUCCAUCUUAUGUAAUUCUUUCUUAAAUUUUUAUUAUUUCAUGAAUUCCUAUUCCCCAAAAAAUUGGAAACUGAAUUAUAAUUUGUGUAAUUAUGAUUUGAUGAAAUUAUGAUUUAUUGUUUGUAUUUGCAGUUCAUCAUUUCUGUUGGUUAAUUAUACUUUGCGAACUUUUCCACUGGACUGUUGAAGAUGGCAAAGGUAUAUUUCUUUUAAUUUUAUUUUUAAAAUAUCAAUUUGUUUGUCUGAAAUAUACUGCGCAAUGUUUCAUUUCUUCUAAUGCUUUUAUUGUGCUCUGAAAUCGAAUUAAUUUUCU
rnacentral:lncRNA from 1 species